GACGAACGCUGGCGGCGUGCUUUAUACAUGCAAGUCGAACGAUGAAGUUCCUUCGGGAAUGGAUUAGUGGCGAACGGGUGAGGAACACGUGAGAAACCUGCCUUUCAUUCUGGGAUAGCACCGGGAAACCGGUGCUAAUACCGGAUACGACCCUCGGCCGCAUCGCCAGGGGGUGGAAAGAAUUUCGGUCAAGGAUGGACUCGCGGCCUAUCAGCUAGUUGGUGAGGUAACGGCUCACCAAGGCGACGACGGGUAGCCGGCCUGAGAGGGUGACCGGCCACACUGGGACUGAGACACGGCCCAGACUCCUACGGGAGGCAGCAGUGGGGAAUAUUGCACAAUGGGCGCAAGCCUGAUGCAGCAACGCCGCGUGAGGGAUGACGGCCUUCGGGUUGUAAACCUCUUUUAGGAGGGAAGAAGCGAAAGUGACGGUACCUGCAGAAAAAGCACCGGCUAACUACGUGCCAGCAGCCGCCGUAA
rnacentral:rRNA from 1 species